CAGCAGAGAUAUAAAUCAACGUUUAUGAGCGACCCUCACCGCCGUGGAGCUGUGGUCCUCAUCUAAAUCGAACGUGUACAGAUUAUUGUAGGCAACUAUCGUGUUGUAUCAUCUGCAAAUGCUCAGUUCGUGCGGGAGUUUUUUUCCCAAUGUGCAGUGCCGACCGUGCAGAGGCCGGGAGUCAAGGCGGAGGAUGAGAUCGGGAGGCCGCGCGGCUCCACGCCGGCAUCGUCGCCGCCGCUUCACAAGUUGUAACCAAUAUAGAAAAGCUAUAUGACUCGAUCCAGGAUCUCCCGGCUCUUUCUGAUCCCGUCUCACCACAAACUUUUAAUCUUUUUUCUUUUGAGUAGAAUUUUAAUCUUUUUAGUUCCAAGUUCUGAACAUAUGAAGAUCCAACAUCUAAUUUAUUUCUCAUAGAUGAGUGAUGGACGAUGCAGCGGAGGAGGCAUACCGAUGGCAGGUUGUAGCAAAUCAGGAGGCCGCCGCCGUCGGCGGACGCUGCCGAGUGGAGAAACUACGUGGACGGUGGACGCUGCCGAGUGGAAAAACUACAUCGGACUGGUGAGAUAACUGAAAUUUCAUAACAGCGACUCCAUGCAUGGUAUGUUCCCCUUUUGCCAUAUUUUACAUACGCAUCUUAUAUAUUCUUUGAGAUCUAAGCCCUUAGAGACAAUAGAUUCUGAUCUUCUGGUCUUUGCCUGCUGAUGCUUUUAUUAUUCAAAGUGGUUCAGUUCCAGUACGUACAGACUAGCCAUAUUAUGACUUGCAGGAUUUUUUUUACUUUUUGUACAUUCUCAUUUAAGUUUUCUUGCGAUAGCACACUAAUUAACAGAAAAAACUUAUGGCAUAUGACCUUUUCUAUGUGUGACGUAUAUGUAAAGUUAGUUUUCUCUUAAAAAAAUCAUCCGUCGAUAAGCUGAAUUAGAGGGAAAUUCAUGGAAAGUGAACCAACAUACAAACCAUAGUAAUAAUCCCAGUGAACUAGCUCUACAGACUAGCAUACAUGUUAUUUAGAAACAAGGGGUUUGCCAUGCUACAACAGAUCCCUGACUAAAUUUAUCUAUUCUACUUGGUCUUUUGAUUUGAAACAUCUAUAUAUUCCUCAUAAACAUAUUGGUUUUGCUACCAGCAGUAGGUGAUUUCUUUGUUCUGCAGCUGGGAUUUCAGUAAAAAAAUGUUUAACCUUCAGUGAAUAUGCACAGUACCAAGACUUUGUUCUGCAGCUCGCACGCCUCAUCCGUGGCGAGAGGGCCUAGGCUGCACUGUGCGCGUCGUCAUCUUAGCCAGUUGUGUUAAUCGGUGGAAAUGCGAGAGGGCCACGCCUCACUAGUAAUCUUGUCGAUUGCCUCUGAACCUGAAUGAACAUCCUUGCUCGUUUAGUUCUGUGUGUCCAUAUGAUAUAUGCUUUGCUAUUUUAUCCUGUUGUUCCUUUUGAUCCAUGUGACUGUUGCAAUCAACUCUCACAUGUACCAUGAUGCUAACUGGUAGAUUAGGACAAGAGAUGUUUCUAUUUUGCACUGCUCAUACUGUACAUACUGUGAUUCAUCUGAUGGGUUUCUUGCACCUGCAAAUGACAGCGUCAUGAUGUUGUCAACGGUAUGGCUGAGGCAGAAGGUGUAACCAAAUAUGAUGCAGGUGAAGCUGCUGCAGAUCAGAAAGAGCAAAAAGGUUCAACAACCAUGAAAUCCUAGCCGAGGACGUGCGAGACUGGGAUAUAGCCAGUGACCGGGGGCAAGGGCAGCGUGCGCAUGGUGAUCGACGAGGACUACUGCAGCCCGAUGGGAGUCGUGCUCUUCAACUACUCGGAGGCAGACUUCACCGUGAAGCCCCACGAUCGCGUCAUACAGAUUAUCGUCCAGGUGAUUGCGACGCAGGAGGUCCCCGGGGUGGAGGACCUCGACGCCACCGUCCGAACGUCGCCGAGGUGGAGGACGACGCCACCGUCCGGAGUUCCUCAAGGUGGAGGACCUCGACGCUUUGUACAUACAUCUAGAGAAGUGGUCUGGUUAGGUUGGCGGUGAAAUCCUAGGGAAGGUACCAACCUAUGAUGGUUGUGUGUGUCCUCGUGAUCUCUUCGAGUUGAGAUGU